rnacentral:rRNA from 1 species
CCUACGGGGGGCAGCAGUGGGGAAUAUUGGACAAUGGGCGAAAGCCUGAUCCAGCCAUGCCGCGUGUGUGAAGAAGGCCUUCGGGUUGUAAAGCACUUUCAGUGGGGAAGAAAGCCUUGGGGCUAAUACCCUCGAGGAAGGACAUCACCCACAGAAGAAGCACCGGCUAACUCCGUGCCAGCAGCCGCGGUAAUACGGAGGGUGCGAGCGUUAAUCGGAAUUACUGGGCGUAAAGCGCGCGUAGGCGGUCUGAUAAGCCGGUUGUGAAAGCCCCGGGCUCAACCUGGGAACGGCAUCCGGAACUGGCAGGCUAGAGUGCAGGAGAGGAAGGUAGAAUUCCCGGUGGAGCGGUGAAAUGCGUAGAGAUCGGGAGGAAUACCAGUGGCGAAGGCGGUCUUCUGGACUGACACUGACGCUGAGGUGCGAAAGCGUGGGUAGCAAACAGGAUUAGAUACCCCAGUAGUC